rnacentral:lncRNA from 1 species
UGGGUCUGUUGCAACCUUUUGCGCGAAUUUCUAACGCAUAUUGUGAAGUUAGGGGUGAAAUUUAGACUUUACUGACUCAUGGUGAUUCUAAGGCCUUAAGAUGUUACCUUCUCAAUUUUUUUUUCAAGGAGUUGAACGUAGAACCCCGCACAUCACGAAACACACAAGUUAGGAUCCAGCACAGGCCAAAAUAUGGAUCUGAGGUCCGAUUCCGGCGAAAAAUGUGGAUUUCACGACAUCCAUCCUCAAACCCCCCGGAACAGCCCUCAUCAUAGUACUCUCCUUUAAGAAAAAAUAGGUGUUAAAAUGCAUAUAUGAUCUAUUCUGGUUUUUUUAACUUGAUAA